rnacentral:rRNA from 1 species
AACGAACGCUGGCGGCGUGGAUAAGACAUGCAAGUCGAACGCUUGUACCAGGGUAGCAAUAUUCUGGUGCAGGAGUGGCGCAAGGGUGCGUAACACGUGGGUCAUUUGCCGUGAAGCUGGGAACAACUCGUUGAAAGACGAGCUAAUACCCAAUGUGCUCCGCAAGGAGUAAAGCCGGGGACCGCAAGGCCUGGCACUUCACGAUAAGCCCGCGGCCUAUCAGCUAGUUGGCGGGGUAAAAGCCCACCAAGGCUAAGACGGGUAGCUGGUCUGAGAGGACGACCAGCCACACUGGAACUGAGACACGGUCCAGACACCUACGGGUGGCAGCAGUCGAGAAUUUUUCACAAUGGGCGCAAGCCUGAUGGAGCGACGCCGCGUGGGGGAUGAAGGGCUUCGGCUCGUAAACCCCUGUCAUUCGCGAACAAUGGCGCCGGCCUAACAUGCCGUCGUCUGAUAGUAGCGGAAGAGGAAGGGACGGCUAACUCUGUG